GGCGAUACCAUGUAUCUCUCUAUAAGUGGCUUUAACAUGAUAGCCAUUUUAUUUGUAAUCACUUUGUUAAUCUCUAAGCAUAGCAGCACAUUAACAACUACACAAUAGUGUCCUAUCAAGCAUAUCCCAAAACUUAUGUAUGUGAAGUUUUUCACAUCACCUAGUAAAACAAAUGUGCUAAAGAAUUGGCAUAAGUUAGAUGGCAUGAUAGAUUAGCAGACAUACCAUUGGCGUUAGAAAAGCUGGAAAUAUAGUGAUCUAAAG
rnacentral:lncRNA from 1 species